rnacentral:tRNA from 1 species
GAGGGUAUAGCUCAGUGGUAGAGUGCAUGCCUAGCAUGCAUGAGGUCCUAGGUUCAAUCCCCAGUACUCCA